CGCGGGCCGCGCUCUGGUGGCGCGGGGCAGUGACGUCAGAGCCGCGCCGGGGAGGCGGUGGUGCCGCCGCGGCAUUCGCUGGUCCCGGCUGAAGAAAGUUUUUCUGCUGAGCAGAGUCUUCCCUUAAUCAGAGACAGGCUCAGUGCAGCAGCGACAACCACAUGGUUUACUCUGCUUACAGCUGAGUAAUCAUCUCUAGUUGCAGUUUUGCCUUAGCUGCUGUGCUUCACAAGAGAGAUUUUCAUGGAUCUCAACAGUGCUAGCACUGUUGUUUUGCAAGUCUUGACACAAGCUACGAGCCAAGAUACUUCAGUGUUGAAGCCAGCUGAGGAACAACUGAAGCAGUGGGAGACACAGCCAGGUUUUUAUUCAGUCUUGUUGAAUAUCUUUACAAAUCAUAGCCUGGAUGUGAAUGUAAGAUGGUUAGCGGUAUUGUACUUUAAAAAUGGAAUUGAUCGCUACUGGAGACGGGUCGCGCCACAUGCUCUUUCUGAAGAAGAAAAAUCUACACUGCGUGCUGGACUUAUCGCCAACUUUAAUGAGCCAGUGAAUCAGAUAGCGACUCAGAUCUCUGUACUGAUUGCUAAAGUUGCCAGAGUGGACUGCCCAAGGCAGUGGCCAGAACUUAUACCCACUCUUGUAGAAUCUGUGAAGGUGCAGGAUGAUCUUCAACAACACAGGGCGCUACUUACGUUUUACCAUGUUACAAAGACCCUGGCAUCCAAACGGCUUGCUGCAGAUAGGAAGCUUUUCUACGAUCUUACAUCAAGUAUUUAUAGCUUUACCUGUUCCUUGUGGAAUCAUCAUACAGAUACAUUCCUACAGCAGAUUUGUACAGGGGAUGAAGCUGCAGCUGCAAAUUCACUAGAAAGGACCUUGUUGUCAUUAAAAGUGCUUCGGAAACUAACGGUCCAUGGCUUUGUAGAACCUCAUUGGAACGCAGAGGUGAUGGGUUUUCUACAUGCCGUAUUUGAACGGCUGAAACAGUUUCUGGAUUGUAGUAGAAGUAUAAGAGCAGAAAGCAUAUGCAGAGAUCGUCUAGAAAAGACCAUAAUUCUGUUCACUAAAGUGCUUUUGGACUUCUUGGAUCAACAUCCCUUCUCAUUCACAGCUUUGAUUCAGAGAUCACUGGAGUUCUCUGUAAGCUAUGUUUUCACAGAAGCUGGUGAAGGAGUUGUGUUUGAGCAGUUUAUUGUACAAUGCAUGAAUCUCAUUAAGAUGAUUGUAAAAAAUUAUGCAUACAAGCCAUCCAAAAAUAUUGAAGACAGCAGUCCUGAAACCCUUGAAGCACAUAAGAUAAAGACAGCUUUUUUCACAUACCCAACACUAAUGGAAAUAUGUAGGAGAUUAGUCACUCACUAUUUCCUGCUGACAAAGGAAGAAUUGACCAUGUGGGAAGAGGAUCCGGAAAGCUUCACUGUAGAAGAGACUGGAGGAGAUUCAUGGAAAUACAGUCUUAGACCAUGCACAGAAGUUCUUUUUAUUGAUAUUUUUCAUGAAUAUAAUCAGACUCUUACCCCAGUUCUUUUAGAAAUGGUUCACAGUUUACAAGGAUCUACCAACAUGGAAAAUACCAAUGCUAUACUGAUUAAAGAUGCUGUGUAUAAUGCGGUUGGACUGGCUGCUUAUGAACUAUUUGAUAGUGUGGAUUUUGAUCAAUGGUUUAAAAAUCAACUAUUAGCAGAACUACAGGUUUCUCAUGACAGGUAUAAACCAAUACGCCGACGAGUAAUAUGGCUGAUUGGACAGUGGAUUUCUGUAAAAUUCAAAUCAGACUUGAGACCUGUUUUAUAUGAAGCAAUUCGUAACUUGCUUCAAGACCGUGACUUAGUGGUUCGUAUUGAGACAGCUACGACACUGAAGUUAACUGUAGAUGACUUUGAGUUCAGAACUGACCAGUUCUUACCGUACCUGGAGUCCAUGUUUACACUGCUCUUUCAACUACUUCAAGAAGUAACACAAUGUGACACCAAAAUGCAUGUUCUUCAUGUUCUGUCCUGUGUGAUUGAAAGAGUCAAUAUGCAGAUACGACCAUAUGUGGGAUGUUUGGUUCAGUAUUUACCACUCCUUUGGAAGCAGAGUGAGGAGCAUAACAUGCUACGAUGUGCCAUUCUAACCACCCUAAUCCAUCUUGUCCAGGGAUUGGGAGCAGACAGCAAAAAUCUCUACCCUUUUCUGCUUCCAGUUAUCCAACUAAGUACAGAUGUUUAUCAACCUCCACAUGUCUAUCUUCUGGAAGAUGGUUUAGAGCUGUGGUUAGUGACAUUGGAGAAUAGCCCAUGUCUUACACCAGAACUCCUGAGAAUAUUUCAGAAUAUGUCUGCCCUUCUUGAGCUGAGUUCAGAAAACCUCAAAAAUUGCUUUAAGAUCAUCAAUGCUUAUAUUUUCUUAUCAUCAACUGAAUUUUUACAGAUGUAUGCUGCUGACUUAUGUCGGUCGUUUUGUGAGCUUUUGAAGGACAUAACUACUGAAGGCCAAGUUCAAGUUUUAAAGGUUGUAGAAAAUGUCCUAAAAGUCAACCCUGUGUUGGGUCCUCAAAUGUUUCAACCCCUUCUGCCAUCAGUAUUCAGGGGGAUUAUAGAUGGGGAGAGAUACCCAGUGGUGAUGUCUACUUAUCUGGGGAUCAUGGGAAGAGUUCUGCUGCAAAAUGCAAGGUUUUUUUCAUUACUUUUGAACCAGAUGGCAUGUGAAUUGGGUCAGGAGUUGGACCAAAUUCUUGGUAACAUGAUUGAAAUGUGGGUUGAUCGGAUGGAUAACAUCACUCAGCCAGAAAGAAGAAAACUUUCUGCUUUGGCAUUGCUUUCUCUUCUGCCAUCAUUGAAUGGUGUUAUCCAAGAUAAAUUUUGUGGUAUCAUCAACAUUUCAGUGGAAGGACUGCAUGAUGUUAUGACUGAAGAUUCUGAAACAGGAACAUACAAAGACUGCAUGUUAAUGUCUCAUUUUGAAGAGCCCAAGGCUACAGAAGAUGAAGAACCUCCCACAGAACAAGACAAAAGGAAAAAAAUUCUUGCACUGAAGGACCCAGUACACACUGUGUCACUGCAGCAGUUCAUCUAUGAGAAGUUAAAGGCACAGCAGGAAUUACUGGGGGAACAAGGUUUUCAUGCCCUUAUGGAAACCGUGGAUACAGAAAUAGUUGCCCAGCUACAAGAAUUUUUACAAGGCUUCUAAAUAAGCAGAAAAAAGAUUUUCUAUGUCAAAUUUUUAUUUCAAAAAUAUGAAAGAGCAUCCUAGCCUUCAGUCUUGUAUGGACAAGCCUAAUGAAAGAUUGUGGGAAUGGCUCCUGACUCACUAACUGAGCUUUCAAGGGAAUAGAGACUGAAAAGUUUCCUUCACCCUGAUGCUUCACCAACCCAACUUUAAACAUCAGGCAGGUGAAUUUGCACAACUGGAGACAGAUGAACCCUGAAUUUGUUUGGAGGCGUCACAUAUGAUGAGCAUAUGAGCAUAUUUCAUCACUACAAAAACCAGCAAUGUUGGCUGGGCCCAUUUGUAAAACAGCAAGGAAGACAUUUACCUUAAUU